rnacentral:lncRNA from 1 species
CCUUGGAUUAAAAAAUAUACGGUUAGAAUGAUGUGGGCUCUCUAAGGUUGAGUGAGUUGUUGGUUUAAUAGUAUAAUCUAACGGGUAAAAUAGUCAAAGGGUUAAAUCUAAUGGCGGAAAACUUGAUAACACUAAAUGCAUGGUGCUAUCAAGAGUAUCCCAGCCGGACUCUCUCUCUCUCUCUCUCACACACACACACACAAUAAUCGGCUUAGGAGAAUGGAGGUCU